rnacentral:rRNA from 1 species
CGGACUCAUAUUGAAACCUAGUGAUUUAUGAGUUAGUGGCGGACGGGUGAGUAACGCGUGGAAAACCUGCCGUAUACCGGGGGAUAACACUUAGAAAUAGGUGCUAAUACCGCAUAAGCGCACAGCUUCGCAUGAAGCAGUGUGAAAAACUCCGGUGGUAUAUGAUGGUUCCGCGUCUGAUUAGCUAGUUGGCGGGGUAACGGCCCACCAAGGCAGCGAUCAGUAGCCGGCCUGAGAGGGUGAACGGCCACAUUGGGACUGAGACACGGCCCAAACUCCUACGGGAGGCAGCAGUGGGGAAUAUUGCACAAUGGGGGAAACCCUGAUGCAGCGACGCCGCGUGAGUGAAGAAGUAUUUCGGUACGUAAAGCUCUAUCAGCAGGGAAGAAAAGGAACUAAAGUUCCCAUGACGGUACCUGAUUAAGAAGCCCCGGCUAACUACGUGCCAGCAGCCGCGGUAAUACGUAGGGGGCAAGCGUUAUCCGGAUUUACUGGGUGUAAAGGGAGCGUAGACGGCAGCGCAAGUCUGGAGUGAAAUGCCGGGGCCCAACCCCGGAACUGCUUUGGAAACUGUGCAGCUGGAGUGCGGGAGAGGUAAGUGGAAUUCCUAGUGUAGCGGUGAAAUGCGUAGAUAUUAGGAGGAACACCAGUGGCGAAGGCGGUCUGCUGGACAGCAACUGACGCUGAGGCGCGAAAGCGUGGGGAGCAAACAGGAUUAGAUACCCUGGUAGUC